rnacentral:rRNA from 1 species
CUUUCUUUGCUGGCGACCGGCGCACGGGUGAGUAACACGUAUCCAACCUGCCCUUUACUCGGGGAUAGCCUUUCGAAAGAAAGAUUAAUACCCGAUAGUAUAAUGAUUCCGCAUGGUUUCAUUAUUAAAGGACUCCGGUAAAGGAUGGGAUGCGUUCCAUUAGGUUGUUGGUGAGGUAACGGCUCACCAAGCCUUCGAUGGAUAGGGGUUCUGAGAGGAAGGUCCCCCACAUUGGAACUGAGACACGGUCCAA